GGAGUUGUGGCUCAGCGGUAGAGCAUUCACCCAGCAUGAGCAAAGCCCUGGGUUUGAUCCCCAGCACCA
rnacentral:tRNA from 1 species